rnacentral:snoRNA from 1 species
UUUAUCAAUGGCAUGAUUUUAAAGCUGUUUCACCCGAGUACACAGCAGGGAAGCCAUCCUAAGAGAGCUGAACAUGCA